rnacentral:rRNA from 1 species
UACAGAGACCUCAAGCGUUAUCCGGAUUUAUUGGGCGUAAAGCGUCCGCAGGUGGUUUAGCCAGUCAGGGGUCAAAACUUUCCGCUUAACGGAAAGGCUGCUUCUGAUACUACUAAACUUGAGUAUGGAAGAGGUGAGCGGAAUUCUCGGUGUAGUCGUAAUAAGCGUUGAUAUCGAGAAGAACACCAAAUGCGAAGGCAGCUCACUGGUACAUUACUGACACUCAUGGACGAAAGCGUGGGGAGCAAACAGG